rnacentral:lncRNA from 1 species
GGGUUAUUAGUUAAAAUUUUCCUCCUCUUUCUUAACACAUGGGAAAGGAGCAUAUAUGCAGAUGUGCAUGUGUCGCUUUCAUUGCAAGGUAUUGUGAAGUUACAUUAAGAGAUUGACUUUAUGACAUUGAGAAUAUCUUUGUAGGGAAAGGACCUAACAAACCAGUAGCGCAUUCACAACAAUAAAGCUACCAUGUUUCGUUAUUCUUUGUCUCUCAGAUUUUUCAUAUAUUUGUGUUCCAGUGUAUCUGUUAUUGUUUUUAAAUGUAGUUAGAAUCACUCGACCCUUUAAUUAGUGACAAUAUAUAUAUAUAUUCUCCUUUUCUC